rnacentral:rRNA from 1 species
GUGGGGAAUAUUGGACAAUGGGCGCAAGCCUGAUCCAGCCAUACCGCGUGGGUGAAGAAGGCCUUCGGGUUGUAAAGCCCUUUUGUUGGGAAAGAAAUCCUGUCGGUUAAUACCUGGCGGGGAUGACGGUACCCAAAGAAUAAGCACCGGCUAACUUCGUGCCAGCAGCCGCGGUAAUACGAAGGGUGCAAGCGUUACUCGGAAUUACUGGGCGUAAGGCGUGCGUAGGUGGUGGUUUAAGUCCGUUGUGAAAGCCCUGGGCUCAACCUGGGAAUUGCAGUGGAUACUGGAUCACUAGAGUGUGGUAGAGGGAUGCGGAAUUUCUGGUGUAGCAGUGAAAUGCGUAGAGAUCAGAAGGAACAUCCGUGGCGAAGGCGGCAUCCUGGGCCAACACUGACACUGAGGCACGAAAGCGUGGGGAGCAAACAGGAUUAGAUACCCUAGUAGUCC